rnacentral:rRNA from 1 species
UACGUAGGUGGCAAGCGUUAUCCGGAUUUAUUGGGCGUAAAGGGUGCGCAGGCGGCUUAGUAAGUUCAGGGUGAAAGCGUGGGGCUCAACCCCAUACAGCCCUGAAAACUGUUAAGCUAGAGUACAGAAGAGGGAAGCGGAAUUCCAUGUGUAGCGGUAAAAUGCGUAGAUAUAUGGAGGAACACCGGUGGCGAAGGCGGCUUCCUGGUCUGUAACUGACGCUCAUGCACGAAAGCGUGGGGAGCAAAUA